rnacentral:lncRNA from 14 species
GGUGACUGUUACAGAUUCACUAUUAAUCGAAUCCCAUAUAUCUCCAUCAGUUGGAAUGUCCAUCUCAUGACUUCCUGCCCCAGCUCUUGCCAAUCAGAUUUUUGUUAUUGCCAAAC